CCCUCCUUAUAAUUUGUAUCCUGGCGUCUCGGCAGAGGCGCGGUUCACCSCCCACUCAAGAUUGCKCACACGGGUGAAGUAACACGKGAGUAAUCUGCCCCAGGACUCUGGGAUAGCCACCGGAUACGGCGAUUAAUACCGGAUACGACAACCGAUUGCAUGAUCUGGUUGUGGAAAGUUUUUCGGCCUGGGAUGUGCUCGCGGCCUAUCAGCUUGUUGGUGAGGUAAUGGCUCACCAAGGCUUCGACGGGUAGCCGGCCUGAGAGGGUGACCGGCCACACUGGGACUGAGACACGGCCCAGACUCCUACGGGAGGCAGCAGUGGGGAAUAUUGGACAAUGGGCGGAAGCCUGAUCCAGCAACGCCGCGUGAGGGAUGACGGCCUUCGGGUUGUAAACCUCUUUCAGCACAGACGAAGCGAAAGUGACGGUAUGUGCAGAAGAAGGACCGGCCAACUACGUGCCAGCAGCCGCGGUAAUACGUAGGGUCCGAGCGUUGUCCGGAAUUAUUGGGCGUAAAGGGCUCGUAGGCGGUCUGUCGCGUCGGGAGUGAAAACCAGGUGCUUAACACCUGGCCUGCUUUCGAUACGGGCAGACUAGAGGUACUCAGGGGAGAAUGGAAUUCCUGGUGUAGCGGUGAAAUGCGCAGAUAUCAGGAGGAACACCGGUGGCGAAGGCGGUUCUCUGGGAGUAUCCUGACGCUGAGGAGCGAAAGUGUGGGGGAGCGAACAGGUAUUAGAUACCCUGGUAGUCCCCACCGUAAAACGUUGGGCGCUAGGUGGUGG
rnacentral:rRNA from 1 species